UACGAAGGGGGCUAGCGUUGUUCGGAAUUACUGGGCGUAAAGGGCUCGUAGGCGGCCAACUAAGUCAGACGUGAAAUCCCCCGGCUUAACCGGGGAACUGCGUCUGAUACUGGAUGGCUUGAGUUCGGGAGAGGGAUGCGGAAUUCCAGGUGUAGCGGUGAAAUGCGUAGAGAUCCGGAGGAACACCAGUGGCGAAGGCGACACGCUGGGCCGUACCUGACACUGAUGCGCGACAGCAUGGGGAGCAAACAGG
rnacentral:rRNA from 1 species